GUUCAAGGCAGACUGCAAGCAUCACCAUUUGCAGAUUUGCUUGGGUUUCUUUUCCCUCCUACUACACUGUUUGGCGCAACUGUAUUUGAGUGCGAUUUGCUGUCCGGGCCUCUGCUCUUCCAGGAUGGGAAGGACUGAUGUUCAUAAUCACUGCUCAGGUGUGGGCUGGACAUCGGUUUUCCAGAUAUGCAUUGACAUGUGGCAGGAGAAGAGCCAAGGCAACACAGGCCAACUGGAGGUUUGAACACAGGACUGCUUGUGAGGCCACAUGUGAGAAAUACGCACCAGAGGAAGCUGCAGGAUCUUCCCCUGUGGGCUGCUCUGCCCAGCACUUGGAACCACUCCUGUCCUUGGACUCGCUCUCCACCAAGACAGAGGAUGCAUCUGCAAUCACACUGCUCGUUGACUACCAUUUUCACCAUGCUGCAAUACAAACAUGAGGCAAAUCAGCCCCCCUCAGCACAUGCAACAGACUUAACCCCAGAAAGAGUGAUUUCUACUGCAAUCAGCUACUCCAGAAAGGAUGCAGGAUGCAGUACUGUCAACACCUGCACCACUGAAAAUCUACCCUCCAUUAGACUCUUGCCAGAGCAAUAAUAAAAAGUUUUAUGCAGUUUCCCAUGAGAUUGAUAAGUCUGGCCUCCCUGGGGUGGUUUUCGAUAAAAGUCUGACUGGGUUUGGGAUGAAUGAAAGUAGCCACCAGGUUCCACCCACUCUCACAAUAUAGACUUUGUCUAAUGCGCUGUAGAGCAAUACAACCUACAAUAUAUCUAAAGUAAAUAUUUGUCUAGUUAAGCAAUUACACUGAAAGGCUCCCCUAUCUUUAUUAUACCAGACAAAAAUGCAUAAGUCACCUGAUGUUGUAUCUCUGAAGAUAUUUCCUCUAACUGGGGCACCGGGAAGUGAUUUUCAGUUUGAGAGCUGGAGUAAAGGGAAGGAAGGGAAGGAGAUAAAAUAUAGUGUGUUGAGGUUUUUUUGGUUGGUUGGUUGGUUGGGUUUUUUUGUUUGUUUUUUGGUUUUUUUUUGUUUGUUUGGUUGGUUGUUUUUGUUUUGUUUUUUUUUUUUUUUUAAAAAAAAGGUAACAACCUUGUUUGUUGAUGCUACAAAGAUUUCUACCAGGUCAAAUGCAGCUGCAUGUAAAAGGACAGGUGCACCGCAGCUCUGAGGGAUCUUUUACAAAAGAUAACAUCUUUACUAGAAAGGGACAAAGUUCAGCAUUUCCUGUUAAAAAUGCUCAUGCAAUACCAGUGCAACUUAAAUAAUCAUAGCUAAACAUUGACUAUCUGUGGAACAGCUUUCAUGCCUGAACUCUGCAUAUGAUGUACUCAUGUAACAUGAGACCACACUGCACCAACUCUCAGACACAAGUAUUUGUGCAGAAGCAGGAUAAAAUUAUGAGUUCUUGCGUGCCUUGGCUUUUUCUGCCUCCAUUUACAUUGAGAAGUUGAAUUGCAGUUUAAGAGAAAGACACUACUCUGUAGAUAAUUUGCUCGGCUAUGGGUAAGAAAAUACUCAGCAGCUACAUUUCUAUUUUUUCUGUCUAGAUCUUGACAUAAAACUUAUUAACUAAUGAGGCAGGGCAGGUAAAAAUGAAAGACAACACGAAAGACUGACCCAAGCAGCCCAUAGGCUUUGUAAGUAAUAAAAUAUCCAAAUAUUGCUUUUAGAAAUGUUAAACUCCUGAGUGGCUAGGGAAUCAUGAGUUAUGCAGAAACCAUUAUAAUUUGCACCUCCUCAUCUGAUGACUUACUACUGAUCAUGCAGUAAAAUUCACAUCUAGAUAGACCUGAACGUAGAGAGAUAAGAAGGGGUAUGAGAGAUAAGAAGGGGUAUGAAUCCAGACUUGCAAUCUGUUGAAAUAUGUAACUUCAUUGAACUAGGAAACAAGAAGCUCAGCACACUAAGAAUGUCUCUGAGUUCCUAGUCACAAACAACAAGAUCUAUAUUUGGUGUUGUCUCAUUCCUAUAUCUUAAUUCUCCAGCCUGGUUAUCUUAUUUUCAAAUGUUGUCUGCUGUUCUGGUUUUCAAAACUAUCUUUGAAUUUAAUGCUUGUCUAACAUGGAGUUUCAUUACUAAUUUAUUAUUUAAAUAUAGGUUAUUUCUGCUGAUUUUAUUUUCAUUUACACUUAUUGUUUAUCGCCUCCUGAGAGUCUUGAGCUGUCCUGUCCUUUAUGUCAUCUUGUUUUGCCUUGUGUAGGAUCACAGUAUCCAUAUAGAAUCAUUCUGCCUUGUGUUAUUUUUCACAAUGAUACAAUCUGAUAGUAAAAAAUGUAGCUAGUUUUGAGUUACUGUCAAAUUUCAUCUUCUAUUUGCAUUUCUAGGUUUGUGAGUUGGUUGGUGGUGUUGUGGGGGUCUUUGUGUUUGGUGGUGGGUUUUUUUGUUUUGGUUUGGUUUUAUGUUUGUUUGGUUUUGUUUUGUUUUGUUUUUCCUCCCUUCAACAUACUCUUGGAUUCCAGUGUCACACAAAUCAUUUACAUAACUGUACAACACACAUUUAUUAAUUUAAUAACUGAAGAAACCCUCCACUAGUGGAAACCAUGUCAGAGCUACAUACAGGAUUGCAGUCAGGAUUUGUUCUGUUGCAGAGAUUUGAAGAUAACAUUACUUAGUCACAGAAGAUGAAUGCUAGCCUCUAUAAUUUUCCACGUCAAUGCUGGGCAAAGUUAAGUAUAAGGAAGUAGUAUUAUAACACACUGUUUUGAACUAUCAGAUACUUGGGCAAUAGUCCCACUUGUUGGUAUUGUGGCUGGUCAGAAGUGUUAAAAGGAACAUGAUUUUGCAGAAAUUGGUGGAAUGUAAUGACAAGAACAAACUAUGCAAUCUUGCUUAUACCUUAUUUUAGACAGCUUCAACAGAAAUAGCCAGUACAACAGAAGAGUAAACAAAGUCACCAAAUGCAUGCAAAUUAAGACCAGAGAUGCAGGUAACAGACAAUAUCAAUUCAAGCAUCAAGUCAGAGCACAUAAGCAGAGAUAUGGGCCAGAGGUAUUUGUGCUCCAUUUAUUAAUUUACUUUACUGUACCUAAAUGCUGGAAAGAUGGGUAGAAAUAACUGUAAACGAAAGGCAUGGCUUUGUUUUGAACAGAACAGAGAUCUUACUCCUCUGAUGGAUUUCAGUUCACUCAUACAACUGUAUUUGAAUUCACUGCUAAACAGCUAGGGCCAUGAUGAGGUCUAUUCACUGCUGCUCCCAAAACAUAGCCUUUUUAUAAGUAUGUGCAGUACAUCAAAGCUGCAGACAGGAAAAUGGUGCCAUUGAAGAGGAUUUCAAUGUGUAUAUAUAAGGACUGUUCUCAUAUGAAAAAAAAAGAAUAUUUAGUUUGAAAAGCUAGAGGAAAAAUAGUCCCUUUAAUAUUCCAAUAUGAUCCAAGAGGCACCCUCAUUAGAUCAUACUCAGGGGUAUGUUAGUGCAGGCCACUUAAAAAAUUAUUGAGUCAGGAUUUUUGUUAGAAAAAAACCAAUAUUGGAACUGAAAAUAAUCAGUUGAUAGACUUAAUUCAAUUUUUUCCAACUCUCUUUACAGUGGAAGAAAAUUGUAUGGGAAUGCAUUACCCAUGAAUAUGAGACUGCUCACCUAUACAACCUUUGGUUUACAAUUUGGAAAGACUCUUAGAUCAUUUACACAUAGCAUACUGUGAGGAGGAGCUGAGGAUGCUCUUAAGAUGGAAAUUUCUUUGCAUUUAGUAAGAGUGCUUGUCUUAGUUUAUCCCUCUCCAGCCAAGAAUGGAGGUAAACAUGUCAGGAUACAAAAUAGCUAAAAUUUCUAAUAACAGCAUGUAGGAUCCUGAAUCAUGAGGAAAUAAAAAAAGACAUUUGAAGCUUCAUAUUAAAGUUUAGUUAACUUUCCUUUUAUGAAUAAAAUAUCACUUUCACUAAUGUACCCAUCAUGUUUUUGGGGGUACCGAAAAGAAAAGAUUUAAGAGGGGACCAAUUCAGCUGUUAUGAAUAAUUAUGGAAUAGUUCACUCUCAAAGUUCAAAAGCCUUGGAUUAAAUUUCAAAACUAGGUACUGGGACUAUUCUCAAUAUAUAUUCAUGACUGGGAUGGAAAAUGAAAAUUCUGUUUUUACUUUUCAGUGUCUGUGCUUCACUGAUACAACUUGUAACCUCAGUCUACACAUUUGAGACAGUGUUGGAUUUCCUAUAUGAGUACUAAAUAGAGAAGAAAAGUAAAAAGUAAUUGUUUACUUACUUUUACUGAUAUUAACAGCAACUUGCAAAGGAUAAACUGAGCCUCCAUUUCAUCUGUCUUUCAUCUAAUUGGGAAAUACACUAAAAUCUUGUUACUGUUUAAAUGGCCUCUUAUACUGAAUACUUUACAUGUAGUUCCUGAAUCUGCCUGAGCCAAAACAGGUGUUACUGGUAGAACAUGUGAGACCUCCUACCACCAGCAAUUCAAAUGCAGAUGUGAGUAAUCAAAUGAAAACUUGAUCACUCUAUUCUCAAGGUGUUAAUGCUUUUCUCAAAUAGGACUUUGUUUCUUACAUAAUUGAAUGGCAUGGCAGGCCCAAUAUCAGCUUUCGCUUCUUAGUAGAAAUUCUAACUGUGUUUCAUCUAGCCUCCUAAAAUACAUGAGCUAUCAAACACAUUGGGCCUGUUUCAGUUAAAUACUUGCCUAGUGAUUUUAUUUCCCGGUAUUGGAAAACCAGGUUUGCUUUGCAAAAAUUUAAUCACAGCAGAGUUGCCCACAAAAUGACACCCACCAUGCUCUACUCCGCAUUCCCACGCUUUUUAAUAUUUGUCAUAUUUCAUCUUUUAAUGCAGUCCUAAUGAGAGCGUAUUGGAACACCACAGAACCAGGCUCGUAAGAAUGCGGUCUUGAAAUAAAACGUGGAACAGAAGGCGCAUUGUAUUACAGUCUCUGUUAAUGUUUUAAUGGUUGAGAGAUUUCCAACAUGUUGGCAGUGUCAGGACAAACCAAUUUAAUAAAUUAUUAACACUAAUCAAACAUUUUUAUGAUGGCAGUCAAAACUUCCUUGGCAGUUAAGGUUAAUUCUGUUGAAGUUUGACAAAGAUGUUACUGUUUGAUGGAAGCCACGUUUAAAACUACAGCCUCCUUUAAAUUAAAACCUUGCAGUGCACUGAGAAGAAAUGGUUAAGCAACACAUCUUGAAGAACAUAAACAGCGAAUGCAGGGCUACAGCUCCAUCGACAGCACAAGAGCUGAUGAAUAGUAGAGAAAUGCAAAUUGAUUACAGCGUAUAUAAUAUACCUGCCACUACUCGGGAGAGGAUAGAGAGAGACUCUUAUCCGGAAGAGAUAAAGCUCGGGCUGUUGAGUGGAGAGUGCUAAAUCAAUAUACAAAUAAAAUCUAGGAAUUCCAGGCACUUGACAAGAGGGCUAGAAAGGAAAAUAAAGAAUCCUGCCAGUUUUGAUGUACUAAACUUUGGAGAAAAGGUAUCUUAAAACAUCCUUUCAUUCAAAAGGCAACAAUAACAAUGCCAGACAACACCACAUUCUCCCCCAGCCCUGCCAGGGAGUUGAAAUCCAGCACAGCAGAAGCUAAUGAGGGGUAUGGAUUAACAAUACAAUGUUUCUCAGGCCUUUCUUGGGCCUCCCCUGGGGCACCCACAGUCUAUACAUCAUCAAUCUACUGCAAAUUGAUGUAGUCAGCCUGUGACAAGGGUCAGGUUUCCAGGACCAGCUACCAGGCAUGAUCUAGUCAUUUUGAGUUACCAAGACAAAGCUCUGUUCUGCUGAGCUCCGGCCAUAUAAAAUCCACAGUUCCCCAGGCGUUCAGUGAGCUGAAAUCAAACCAUAGAGCCCUCUCUGUUCUCCUCUACACCCUCUGAGAAACCAGCUCACCUUUCUGAAGUGACACUGCUGUUAUUAUUUUGCUCUCUCUUACAGAUGAUGCCAUCUCAGAAACUUCAGGCUCACAAGAGAAAAGCAUGCACUAACCCAUGAGAUUAUUAUUAUUAUUAUUAAUUUAUAUUAUUAUUUAUCAUAUGCUAAUUAUUUCUACCACAUAAAAAGAUUAACAGGAAAAAUCAUACAUAUUUAUCUUCAAUAUAUGACAGCAAUGAAGAAGAGAAAAAGGUGCUCGCUGACACAGAUUUCUAAAUAAGUUUUAUUGGAGUACCAAAAACUUGUGUUAGUUCACAAUAUUUUUCCUGAACAAUCACUCGUGGGAUCUUGCUUUUAUCCAACAACUUGUGCCACAGCUUUUCCAAAUACUCUGGAUUAGUUGGAUACAUGCAUAUUUGUACUGACAUCCCCUUGGCUUAGUUGAAGGCAGUGGAUUUCCACACAAGAUUGGUGGCAAGUGUGCCUUAGCUCACGGCACCGCAGGCUUGUCAGCUGCGCUGAAAUUUAUCCAUUCAGAUGGCAAGAGACACAAGGAUACAAGCAUUCAACACAAUGAGAAAAAUUAGAUGUUCUGUCAAUAAGAUGCGUGCAGCCCAAACUGAAAUAGAUUAAAUCACUAGAAGGGCCCCUGUUAAUUUAAAUGGUUUUGAUGGCAUCCACACUUCUACAGAAACUGCAGCAGGUAAAACUUACAUAAUAUCUAUAUGUUUAGCAUCACCUAAACUUAGAAUUAAUAGUUCUUCCUGAAGGCAACUUUAACAUCUGUUGAUCUGCCUCUGAAAGAUUUAAAAAAAACCCAAGCUCCCAUAUAGAAAAAAAAAUUGGAUCCCAGCUACCUAAAACAUGGCAGAUUUCUGAGGGAUCAUAUUAACUUCAAACAUUCACAGCUACUUGUGGUCCAACACAGGUGUGAACUAGCAGUAGAAAACAGGCACUUUUUUAUUCAUGAAGGACCUUCAAUGAAAUUCAAUGUGUUUCUUACUUAUAAUAUUUCUAUGACUAUAUCACAUUAAUAUAUUUUUAGAAUGUGUAUGUCCAAAAAAUAUCCUUGCUUAGGCAUUUAUUAACAAAAAGCAAAUCCUCAAAUUCAUUUUGAGAUUUGUCUGCUCUGAAUGGACAACAACCUUUGAAAAGCAGGCAAGAGGAACUGAGCAAGCCACUUGUGGUAUGAACAUCUGAUGAACAUUUGCUCAUAUUUAUUCAUGCAGGCUUUCUGGCAUUUCUCUGUCAUGGACAGUCUUCCAAACACAACGUCAUACAUAUGAAUGUGCAUGAAAAGCAAAUAAAAAGAUGCACUAAUACCUUUGAAGUAAAUGUGGCUUUUAUCUGAUGGAUGCUUGCAAAUACUUUGUUUCAUGAUUCACUCAAGUUUUUCACACUGCCAGCAAACUUCUACAAGGGAUUAAAAAACCUCUAAAUUGCCAGGAAACCUCAGCUCUCAUUUUCCACUAGCCCCUUUUGGCAAUGAUGUGGCUUGAAUAUGUUUCUAAAACAUAACUGCACGUAUAUGUUCACAAAUUAGGCUUGUACUCCAGAAGUUUCCAUAAUCUCUCACAACAAGCUCCUGCCACUAGACUAGCCGAUGAUGACAAGUUCUUCUCUUUUUUCUACUAGUAACUUUUACAUCGAUUGAGAUGUAAACAAAACUAUGAUAUUUUUGCAAAAGUUUGCAAGGGACUCUAAAGGAAUCUUUGGAGGAACUGUAUUCAACUCAUGGUCUGUAGCAGGUAGCCAUUACAUACACCAUUUUUUUAGAAGAAACCAAUACUAAAGCCUUUGAAGUUCUCAAAAAGGCAUGCUCUCUAGCCUACAUUUAUUUACCUAAUUUUCUUUUUUUACAUGUUUAUCUGGGUGGGUGUGUGCACAUUCACCUUUAAGUGCCCGUGUAACACUUUAGGCACAUAUCCCGUCAGUUAAAAGUAAAGUCUCAGUUUAAGCUGAUAUGAAUAGAAGUUUAGACACAGCAUGAUUGCGGCACUUUCUUUUAGCAUAUUGCAACUUAUAAGUAGGUUUUACCUAACAUUUUUGCAGGUCUUUUGAUUUAUUCUGUGCUAAAGAUCAAACAUGCAUUCAUAUUAUUAUAGCUAAUUAUUAUGAGUAAUAUUAGAUAAAACAGACAUUUUUAGAACAGCUGGUAAUAUAUGAACACCUGAUAAUAAAAUAUUAAUAUACAUUUUGGAAGUAAGCAUCUGCACUUUCUAGAAAUACGUGUUUACUUGAAGUGAUCUGUAAGUUUAAGUUGUCUUCUAAUUAUUUUUUUCAGUUGUUAAAAACUACAAGAAGGAACAGAUUUUCCCUUCAGUGGAAGUAUAUGCAAAGAUGUGCUCAUGAUUAAAAAAAAAAAGGGACCCUUUAUAAAUGGCUUACAGAAAUCAUGCUAGUCAUCCAUCUAAGUACUUGACUACACCUAUCAUUAAGAGAUGCCAGAGGAAAGCAGUAUGCAGGUGUGUUUCAAUUUGUGGAUGCAACUGGUGACCUGUUUGAACUCUGCCUGUACAUGGAAGCCCAUGGAAAAUAUGUCCCCUGAAUGAGCUCUGCACUGCUGAUCUCCAUGUAAAAUUUCUGCUGCACCUUCACCUCUUCUGAGAAUGCUUGCUAGUGGGAUCAGUAGUGAAGGACUGAGGCUAAAAUCCUGAAUCACAGCUGGAGGAAAUCUCAUCACCUAGAUGUGAGUUUUUACCGAUCAUAUCUGGUAAGAGAGGACAUCAUCACCAGCCACCUGUCCCAUCUAGAACAUUUACCUCCACUCCUCCUCCCAACUGCAGCAACCCCUCCUGUUCAUCUGCUCCCUACAGCAGUUGGGAAUCUUACAGCACCUAUUCCCUUGGAGGAGAGUUGCCAAAAAUCCCGCCUCCAACCCCAAACCAGGCUGCUCUGGUCCAGGCCAAAGGCUGGCUCUGGUCUGGCUGCUCGCUCUCUCCAGAAUUGUUACUGCUCUUUUCUUCCUAUGCUAAAGCUGAAAACAAAUGCAGUUCAGUGUAAGUCAGCUUUUUUAGCAAAAAUAAACCAGAGUGGUUUGCCUGUGCAGCAUACUGGAGAGAAGCUUCUAACACUGUUUACAUGCAAGGUCCCUAUUCCCCCACCCCUGCCAAGAAGAAAGUUGCUCCUCUUCCCACUUUAAAGGCUCCUGCCCUUCUUUGCUUCUCUUCCCACCUAUCUUUAUUUGGCUGCUUUUCCAAGGAGGGGUAAAAACUUCGUGCAAUUCUCCGAAUCUCAUAUUCUUGAAGAACAAAAUACCUUCCCCCAUCUAAGAGAACUGAUGCACUCUGCUGGCUUCAAACUUUUCAAAUAUCUGUCUGCUGAAGCAGCUGUUGAAUAAUUUAUAUUUCUUAGAACUGAGCUGAGUAUAUGUACAUUUUUGCUUUGAUAUAUACCAUAUAGUUGUUUUUCCUUCCUUUCCAUUGCCAUCUUGUUUUCCACUUAAAAUUUCAACGUAGGAAAAUCUGAAGACUUCAGAGUCUGGGAAAACGAUUUGGGUUUCGGGAGCGGGAGAGAAGGGUAGUGCAAUUUGUUUGUGAGGUUUUUUUUUAAUGAAAGGAAAAAAUCCUGAACAACUUGCAAUUAGCAGCUCUGAAAAGUUAUAGUUUCUUCAAUGGCACGCAGCAUGCAAAGUAAACCUACAAGAGACUCCUUAGCUUAACAUGCCUGGAGCUGGAUACAGUUCCUCUAAAUCAAAGCACAGCUCGCACUAACAGUUGCAGUAUGUUAGUGGCUGGAUGGUUGCUUUAUGAAGAAUUAUAAAGUGACACAGCAGUCUGGUUGAAAAAAACACACACCAGGCUUUGAUGUUUUUAACUGCUAACUUCAAGAGGACCAACAGAGACCUUCCUGUUUUUAUUGCAGCCUCUCUGUCAUCCCUCCCCCUGCUCCAUCUCUCCUCUCCCACUGUUAGAUGGGGGACUGUUAUCUUUCAGUCACUUUGUAAGCUUGACUUGUUUACAGACUGAAUGUCUCCAUUUAUAGGCCUAUAUCAGAGAACAAACAGGGCAAGUGUGACUUCCUAGGAUCUGAAAUGUGAUGCUUUUUCCUCUUGGGCAAGCAGGAGUGUCAAGGGAGGGGGGAAGGAAAGGCAGAAGAGAAAUCCUGUAAUUGUCCUUCUUGUUCCUCAUCCCUCCAGGUUAAACAUACACACCUGUAGGGUACCAAGGUAUUUUAAAUGAACCAAUAGCUUAAAUGUUAGCUUACUGAAACUCCAUGAAAAUACACAGCCAUUGUCUCAAUAAAAACUAGUCCACUUCAGAAUCUAGUCCACCAACAGUAAAAUCAAUGCUAAACAAAGGCUUCUCUUAAAGUCCCUGGUUUUAAAGUUUUAUACUAUAGAUCCAUUUAGAUAUUCAUUUAGGGAAUCUUAAAAGCAUAUAUCACAUUUUACUGGGGACAUUUAAAGGGUGUCAGUGGGGUAAUUAUAAGCAUAGACACUGUAAUGAUGAAAUCUUAGAAACCAUUAAUGACAUGAGUUUGGAUAUUCCUUCUUAUCUUGAAUAAUAUUUUACUUUACUCAUAAUCCCAGUCCAGUCAAGAAGAAUAGCCCUUAAUAAGUUACUCAAAUGACAUGAGAGACAGUUUGCUUAUAUUGCUAACGGCACUUUUCUUUUUGGUUCUCCAUAAUGUUCAGGUUAUAAGCACCCCAGAGGAGGUAUGGUUUUGUCCUUACUGAAGGUGCCUUACUUUUACACUGACAACUUUUAUUUUAAUUGUAGGAUUCCUUUUUAUAGGUUUCUGGUUUCAAAAGGCUUGCUUUUGCGCAAACACACACUUGGGAGCAGAGGGGGCUUUUAAGGAGGGUACAAAGAGGCAUAUCAGAUUUGCUUUUACAGUACUUUAUGGUGAGACACUGGCCCAGCCAGUUUUGAGCUAGGUCUGUCUAGGCUUCCUCUUGUAGGUUGCUCACCAAAAGAGACCAAAAAGCUUAUGAACUAAAAAAAAUUAAAAUCUAGGAAGUUAACUCUUUAGGCACAACCUCUUCCAAAUAAAUAGAUCAGACAGGACAGAAGAGGAAAGAUUUUACACAUGGCUCUUCCUUCGACAGCCCUGUCUGCAGGUGGGACCUUAGGCAGACCUUGGUUAGACAGAGCCCAGUUACGCUGUGAGUAGCAGCAGUGCCCAGUCCCCGCUGAGUCCUCCCAUCUACCCUGAGACCGGUGUGCUCCUCCAGGGACACCACUGUACCCCCCCGCUUCUUACUCCUGGAUCACAAACCUUCACAGACCGCAGGCAGGGACAGCUGCUGCCUCCAUGCACCUCUGGUGUGCAGAGAUACAGACAGCCCAGUACGAGCUGUGUCAGUGCAAAUGGCUGAACUUUUGAACUUGAUUAAGAAUUUGAUCUCCUUUAGAGUUCAUGUACAAUUUGAUCAGUAUAAACACAACACCCAAAUGGACAUGACCUAAAUGUAUGCUGGUGCCACUCUGCCUGCUGGUGACAGCAGAGUUGUUACUCCUUAGCUGGCCUAGCAGGAAGACAUCCCAGGGUACUGGCCUUUUAGUUUCUUCCCACAGCAGAUUUCUCCUGCAGAGAUCCCCUGUGUUCUCCUGUGGGCAGUCACCCCACCAAUUUGCCAUGUCCUCCUUCCACUUUGAAGGUCUGUUUCACAGGAGGUGCUGGCUUGUCUGAUAUUCCAUGCCUAUGUCUGAUAUUCCAUGCCUUAGAACAGAAUGCAGAGGAUGCUGUGUAAGAUGCGGGCUUCUCCCUUUGCGGUUUCCUUACUCUGGGAGCUGUGGAGACCUGGGAGGUCAGCACAUGUCGCUCCUGCCAAAAAGCAAGCACUGAGCGAGGAGACAAACCAAGCCUUCAAAGAGUGCCAAAGCUUCCCAGCAUAGCUCGGUGUGAAGGGAAGGCAGAGAUUUGUGGUAGCUCUGUUUUGUUUUAAACUAAACUGUUUGGGCCAUCUAUGCUCUUUCUAGUUUUUCGUCUCGUCUGGGGACAACAGAGAAAAUUAAACUAUAUGAGUAGAAGGUGGCUUUUAAUCACAACCGCUUUUUCCCCUGGAGUCCAAAAGCAUAUGCUUGAAUUAAUGGACUCUUUCUAUUAACCACAAAGGGCCCAGGACAGAUGCAAGAAAAGUUAGGUUUUCCUCAUCAUGCAUACAUAAACUUUCUCCAGCUCUCUUCAGCAGUUUCACAUGGAGAUGAUGAAGCCAUUCAGCCUAACAAAAGACUUUGCUUGAAUCCUGGACCAGAAUUCGCAUAAACGAUAAUUUCUGGUUUUGGCAUUCAGAUAUGAUUAACUCUUCUUCUGUCCCUUUUUACAUGCUCCUCCUUUAAGAUGGCUGAAAAAAAAACCCACAACACUUUAAUGCUCAGUUCUAAGUACAGACGUGGUGCUAAAUUUGAAACACAUGCCUCCCUUCAGUGCCAGGAACUGUAGAUGACACUUUCCUCCAUACCUCAAUAUCGUCAGAUCCCAUUCUGACACACGUAAUUCUGUCUGGGCUAAAGGCACCGAAUUUUAUGUUAAGGAAUCUACUAUAUAGGAAACACCUAGACACAAUGUGACAGGAUGCUUAGCCCUUUCUGCAGCUCUGGUCUUUACCAUGGAAGCCUGUGGCAAAUCAGACACAUUUUUUGCCAUGUCUGAAAGUAAAGCCUUGACAGUCCUGCACAGCUGGACAAGAGAAAAUUACAUUCUGUUCCUCAUGGGUCCAAGGAGGUCCAAGAGUGAACUUGAAAGUAUAGAACUAUGUGAGAUUUAGAUGCAUUUACAAUGCGCAUGCAAAUGCAUGAAGACACUUAUCUAAUUUUCAAAAUAAAAAGAAAGAACAGUCUCUAAACAGGUAGUAUUCAAUCAGCAUUAUUCCUGUAGCUAUUAUGAGCUCAAGGCAUCUCACAGAUGGACAAGGAUAUUCAUGUGCAAGCCUUCAAUUUUCCCACUCAUUCUGGCAAAUUCUAGCUGGAUUGCCAUUCCACUUGAAUUCAUAGAAUCAUAGAAUGCUAGGGAUUGGAAGGGACCUCGAAAGAUCAUCUAGUCCAAUCCCCCUGCUGGAGCAGGAACACCUAGAUGAGGCUACACAGGAACAUGUCCAGGAGGCUUUGAAUGCCUUCAGAGUAGAAGACUCCACAACACCCCUGGGCAGCCUGUUCCAGUGCUCUGUUACCCUCACUGAGAAGAAGUUUCUUCUCAAGUUUAAGUGGAACCUCUUGUAUUCCAGUUUGAUCCCAUUACCCCUUGUCUUACUAUUGUUUGUCACCGAGAAGAGCCUGGCUCCAUCCUCGUGACACUCACCCUUUGUAUAUUUGUAAACAUUAAUAAGGUCACCCCUCAGUCUCCUCUUCUCCAAACUAAAGAGACCAGCUCCAUCAGCCUUUCCUCAUAAGGGAGAUGCUCCACUCCCUUCAUCAUCUUCAUUGCCCUAUGCUGGACUCUCUCCAGCAGUUCCCUGUCCUUCUUGAACUGAGGAGUUCAGAACUGGAUACAGUAUUCCAGGCGUGGUCUCACCAGGGAAGAGUAGAGGGGCAGGAGAACCUCUCUCAACCUACUAACUGCCCCCCUUCUAAUACACCCCAGGAUGCCAUUGGCCCUCUUGGCCACAAGGGCACAGUGCUGGCUCAUGGUCAUCCUGCUGUCCACCAGGAUCCCCAAGUCCCUUUCCCUUACACUGCUCUCUAAUGGAUCAUUCCCCAAUUUAUACUGGAACCUGGGGUUACCACACUCUAGUACCCGCAGGAAUUAUUGCCUCUCCUUAAGUCCCAAGAUGCAGGUGCAUCAGCAUCCACUAAAGAACCAGAAAAGUCCCAGAGCUGAUACAUCUCACACAGGGUAAAGGUAUGUGACUUAGGGCUGUGUUUGAGCUGGGUGGGCAGGCUGACUGAACAUCACCAUUCUGAACUCUGCUCCUGUUGAUACUAUAAAACAUCAAGUCUUUUUCUCCCUCUUUGAAGAUACUUCUGUAUGUCUGAGCAGUGUGCAGCACAAAGUAGGGUUCACAGGCAGUAAUGAUUUUAAAGCAUACAGUCAUGUCUCAAAAAGUACUUUUUUUUUUUUUUUUACAUCCUAUGAUUUCCUGAUCUACUUUUCCCUGUGAAAUCCAGCACAAACAGAGAGCACCUAGGACUUGGGAGCUUUUCCUGAGAGCUCAGGUGCCAACUGUUAUUUGUGUUCCUGUGCAUAUAUCUAUGGUCAUAUUCAAGAUCCAAGAGGAUCAAAGCUUUGACUCCAGUGGUGGGAACACUGGGCAGAGCACUGGGCAACAGGGCUGCAGGUUCCUUUCCAAAUACUGCCAGUUACCUGUCCCGACACCUUUAUGGAUGUUCUACACCCUGCAAGACUGAUAUGUUCCCACAUCUCAUGAGCAGAAGUAACACAAGCUCUAGGGCAGGGACACCCCCCACCCCCACAGCUCUGUACAGUGCCUGGGACUCCAUGGCUCUAUUACAAUGCAAGCACUAAUUAACAGCCCAAUCAGGCUUUGUGCAACGGUUGCCAAGACAAGUUCUUUGCCUUGUGCUGAAUUGCUCACCUCACUUAGCUUUUUUAAGUCUAAGUUCAUCAUUUACUGCAGUGUACUAAGUUAUAUCAUAGAAAUUUUAGAGGUAUGACUCCCCUCCACAAGUUACUUUUGAACAAUAACAAAUCAUAUGCUUGUUCUUGUGCUCUGAUGAGCUUUGAACUUUAAUAAAUGAUUAAUCCUAUUUAGAAGUAACUUAACACUGCCUUAACUGCAUCUUUCCAUGAAAUGUCACUUUGACAUCCUGUUGUGUGCAUUCAUUGCAACUUUCACACGCUGUAAAUUAGGAACAUUUACACAUGCAAUUAGUGUUUAAUAAAUGCCCAAAGAACUACUUGGGGAUUAAGCAAUUAGAUGGCAUCAUGGAGUACCCUUUGUACUUAAUGCUUAUGAAGAAAAUCAUCUACCCGUUUUGCACAAAUUGCAUGCUGGGGUAACCAUUGUGCUGGCAGGAAGCGCUCGGGUGAAUUGCCAAAUGCAGCCUCGAGUUUAUACACAGCCACCAUUCCCCAGCUCUCCCAUCCCUCCCCCACUGACUUAACAGAUAAAUUAAUAUAGAAAAAUUUGUCAUUGGGAUAGUACUUUGUUACCAAAUUACUCCCUAUGUUAAAAAAAAACAAAAAAACCCAUAAGAUUUAAGAACUUGAAUUUUUAAUGUCGUAGUUUAGUUAUUAUAUAUAUAUAAAAAAGAUCUGCCCAGAAAAAAAUACAGCUAUGUACACACGGGUCAUUUGCACAGCCGGCAACAACGGAGACUUAACCCUUUCUUAUCCUAUACUUUAUGGUGCAUAAAAACUGUAGUCAGUGUAUAUGGCAAAGCACGCAGUCUUAGAAGGAGAAACACUUGGCACCCUAGAACACCGUGUAAGUGGGAGCCUCUAUUUUAUGUAUACACCACGCACACACAACUAUAGCAUGCUGAAAAUAACAAUAAUCAUUUGUUCUGCCAUGUAUAUGGCCGGUACUCACCACAGUGAUUGGUUAAACACCAAAAUUAAGGUGCUGGAAGAGAAUGCCUUGAAGUUCAAGGUUCAAAUGAAUCCAAUUUACUCUCACUAAGACCCAUUCAUAGGCAGCCUGGAGAACAUCAGGGGUGUUGGACUAGGUGACCUUUGAAGGUCCCUUCCAACUCAAACUAUUCCAUGAUUGUAUGAUCUCACAUUUAUAAAGCCAUACCUAACACAUGGACUCAGAUACAAACAAACAACUAGUGGGCAAAAGAAAAAGAUACUUUGGGAACAGAGUGGAGUUCGAAGUUACAUCCUGAGCACUUAAGUCACCAAAACCAGGAAAACCUGGUUUUGACACCAAGAGAGGGGUCCCGGCUCACAGCACCACAUCCUUCACCUCACCAAAAGGAACCACUGCUUGCAGAGGUCACUCCCAGAGUCACAAACCCUCCUUACAAAAAGGCCUAUUAGAACCUAAUGCUUUCCAAAGCUGGUUUGUGCUGGGAUACAAUGGAGGUGGUGCAACAUGUGUGCUAGCUGAGGCUGCGCUUCACAGGAGAAGAGAGGACCCUGUUUGCAGGGGAGCAGGAUUUCCAAGUGCCAGUCACUGGAGAAAGUAGAAAAUAAACAAAACCAACCAACCAAAUAAAUAAAUAAAUAGACCAAAACAAAACAAAGCCACCAAAAAACACACACACACAAAAAAAAGGACACCAAAAAAACCUACAAAAACACAAAAAAACCCGAAACACACACAAAAAAAACCCAAAAAACACAAAAAAACAAAAACCACAUAAAGAACCGAAAAUACAAAAAACCCAAACCCCACCAAAAUAAAAAAAAAACAAAACACAAAAA